AUACGGAGGGUGCGAGCGUUAAUCGGAAUUACUGGGCGUAAAGCGCGCGUAGGCGGCUUUGUAAGUCGGAUGUGAAAGCCCUGGGCUUAACCUGGGAAUGGCAUUCGAUACUGCAUAACUAGAGUAUGGUAGAGGGAAGUGGAAUUUCCGGUGUAGCGGUGAAAUGCGUAGAUAUCGGAAGGAACACCAGUGGCGAAGGCGACUUCCUGGGCCAAUACUGACGCUGAGGUGCGAAAGCGUGGGGAGCAAACAGGAUUAGAAACCCCGGUAGUCC
rnacentral:rRNA from 1 species